GCACAAGCGGUGGAGCAUGUGGUUUAAUUCGACGCAACGCGAAGAACCUUACCUGGGCUCGAAAUGUAGUGGACUGGGGUAGAAAUAUCCCUUCCUAGCAAUAGGCUGCUAUAUAGGUGCUGCAUGGCUGUCGUCAGCUCGUGUCGUGAGAUGUUGGGUUAAGUCCCGCAACGAGCGCAACCCUUAUUACCAGUUGCCAUCAUUCAGUUGGGCACUCUGGUGAGACCGCCUCGGAUAACGGGGAGGAAGGCGGGGAUGACGUCAAGUCCUCAUGGCCUUUAUGUCCAGGGCUACACACGUGCUACAAUGGCCGGUACAAACCGUCGCAAACCCGUGAGGGGGAGCUAAUCGGAAAAAGCCGGCCUCAGUUCGGAUUGGAGUCUGCAACUCGACUCCAUGAAGCUGGAAUCGCUAGUAAUCGCAGAUCAGAACGCUGCGGUGAAUACGUUCCCGGGC
rnacentral:rRNA from 1 species